CCUACGGGUGGCUGCAGUGGGGAAUAUUGGACAAUGGGGGGAACCCUGAUCCAGCCAUGCCGCGUGUGUGAAGAAGGCCCUCGGGUUGUAAAGCACUUUCAGUGAGGAAGAACGCCUGGUGGUUAAUACCCAUCAGGAAAGACAUCACUCACAGAAGAAGCACCGGCUAACUCCGUGCCAGCAGCCGCGGUAAUACGGAGGGUGCGAGCGUUAAUCGGAAUUACUGGGCGUAAAGCCCGCGUAGGUGGCUUGAUAAGCCGGUUGUGAAAGCCCCGGGCUCAACCUGGGAACGGCAUCCGGAACUGUCAAGCUAGAGUGCAGGAGAGGAAGGUAGAAUUCCCGGUGUAGCGGUGAAAUGCGUAGAGAUCGGGAGGAAUACCAGUGGCGAAGGCGGCCUUCUGGACUGAAACUGACACUGAGGUGCGAAAGCGUGGGUAGCAAACAGGAUUAGAUACCCCGGUAGUC
rnacentral:rRNA from 1 species